rnacentral:rRNA from 1 species
GAUCAUGGCUCAGGAUGAACGCUAGCUACAGGCUUAACACAUGCAAGUCGAGGGGCAUCAGGGUGUAGCAANACACCGCUGGCGACCGGCGCACGGGUGAGUAACACGUAUCCAACCUGCCCUUUACUCGGGGGAUAGCCUUUCGAAAGAAAGAUUAAUACCCGAUGGUAUAACAUGACCUCCUGGUUUUGUUAUUAAAGAAUUUCGGUAGAGGAUGGGGAUGCGUUCCAUUAGGCAGUUGGCGGGGUAACGGCCC